AGUGGAAUUGCUGGAGCAUGUGGUAAUUCUAUGUUUAACUUUUUGAGAAACUGCCAAACUAUUUUCCAAAGUGGCUGCACCAUUUAACAUUCCCACCAGCAAU
rnacentral:pre_miRNA from 1 species